rnacentral:rRNA from 1 species
GACAGAGGGUGCAAACGUUGCUCGGAAUUACUGGGCGUAAAGGGCGCGUAGGCGGGAUGGCAAGUCGGUCGUGAAAUCCCUCGGCUCAACCGAGGAACGUCGAUCGAUACUGCUGUUCUUGAGGAUUGCAGAGGAGACUGGAAUUCCCGGUGUAGCGGUGAAAUGUGUAGAGAUCGGGAGGAACACCGGUGGCGAAGGCGGGUCUCUGGGCAAUUCCUGACGCUGAGGCGCGAAAGCGUGGGGAGCAAACGGG